rnacentral:rRNA from 1 species
GAUGAACGCUGGCGGCGUGCCUAAUACAUGCAAGUCGAGCGAACGGACGAGAAGCUUGCUUCUCUGAUGUUAGCGGCGGACGGGUGAGUAACACGUGGAUAACCUACCUAUAAGACUGGGAUAACUUCGGGAAACCGGAGCUAAUACCGGAUAAUAUUUUGAACCGCAUGGUUCAAAAGUGAAAGACGGUCUUGCUGUCACUUAUAGAUGGAUCCGCGCUGCAUUAGCUAGUUGGUAAGGUAACGGCUUACCAAGGCAACGAUGCAUAGCCGACCUGAGAGGGUGAUCGGCCACACUAGAACUGAGACACGGUCCAGACUCCUACGGGAGGCAGCAGUAGGGAAUCUUCCGCAAUGGGCGGAAGCCUGACGGAGCAACGCCGCGUGAGUGAUGAAGGUCUUCGGAUCGUAAAACUCUGUUAUUAGUGAAGAACAUAUGUGUAAGUAACUGUGCACAUCUUGACGGUACCUAAUCAGAAAGCCACGGCUAACUACGUG